GAUGAACGCUGGCGGCGUGCCUAAUACAUGCAAGUCGAGCGAACAGACGCGGAGCUUGCUCCUCUGACGUUAGCGGCGGACGGGUGAGUAACACGUGGAUAACCUACCUAUAAGACUGGGAUAACUUCGGGAAACCGGAGCUAAUACCGCAUAAUAUAUUGAACCGCAUGGUUCAUUAGUGAAAGACGGUUUUGCUGUCACUUAUAGAUGGAUCCGCGCCGCAUUAGCUAGUUGGUAAGGUAACGGCUUACCAAGGCAACGAUGCGUAGCCGACCUGAGAGGGUGAUCGGCCGCACUGGAGCUGCGACACGGUCCAGACUCCUACGGGAGGCAGCAGUAGGGAAUCUUCCGCAAUGGGCGAAAGCUUGACGGAGCAACGCCGCGUGAGUGAUGAAGGUCUUCGGAUCGUAAAACUCUGUUAUUAGGGAAGAACAAAUGUGUAAGUAACUAUGCACGUCUUGACGGUACCUAAUCAGAAAGCCACGGCUAACUACGUG
rnacentral:rRNA from 1 species